CCGGGGCGAAGCGCCCCCCUGGAACUUCCCGCAGACUUCGGGGGCCCUCAGGACACGCGUUCCACUGGCGUCCAGGAGGGCCCGGGUCGUCUCAGACGCACUAGCAGCAGAGAACACAGCGGCGUGAACUGCGGCCCCAGCAAGCCCAGCACUCUUUCUCCUCGGGGAGCGAGACCCAGGAACUCCUCUGCCCUGUGCGGGGCCACUGGCCACCAUGUCCAGUCCCACCAACAACGCCACCAGGCCUGCUGUUCCAUACGGUCAUUUCCAAAAGGUGGAAAAUUUGUACAUUAAUAUGUUGCUCCACUGUCUUCUGGCUUGCUUUGUUUCCAACAAGAAGUUGCUAUCGGGGCUUCCCUGGUGGCGCAGUGGUUGAGAAUCUGCCUCCCAAUGCCGGGCACAUGGGUUCGAGCCCUGGUCUGGGAAGAUCCCACAUGCCGCAGAGUGGCUGGGCCCGUGAGCCACAACUACUGAGCCUGCGCGUCUGGAGCCUGUGCUCUGCAAUGGGAGGGGCCGCGGCAGUGAGAGGCCCGCGCACCGCGAUGAAGAGUGGCCCCCGCU